GACGGACGCUGGCGGCGUGCUUAACACAUGCAAGUCGAACGGAAAGGCCCCAGCUUGCUGGGGUACUCGAGUGGCGAACGGGUGAGUAACACGUGGGUGAUCUGCCCUGCACUCUGGGAUAAGCCUGGGAAACUGGGUCUAAUACCGGAUAGGACCGUGCUUUAGUGUGUGCGGUGGAAAGUUUUUCGGUGCAGGAUGAGCCCGCGGCCUAUCAGCUUGUUGGUGGGGUAAUGGCCUACCAAGGCGGCGACGGGUAGCCGGCCUGAGAGGGUGUACGGCCAAAUUGGGACUGAGACACGGCCCAGACUCCUACGGGAGGCAGCAGUGGGGAAUAUUGCACAAUGGGCGCAAGCCUGAUGCAGCGACGCCGCGUGGGGGAUGACGGCCUUCGGGUUGUAACCCCCUUUCGGCAGGGACGAAGCUUUUGUGACGGUACCUGCAUAAGAAGCACCGGCUAACUACGUG
rnacentral:rRNA from 1 species